rnacentral:misc_RNA from 1 species
UGAGCAUCAAAAGAACUUUCAAAUAGUAGAUUUCCAUGUCCAUUUACCACUUUUACCACAUCUUACACCCAAAGCGGCAAAGCCCACAUGACGCUAUAGUUGACCAUACGCUACAAUUAGUUUUUCAGUAUGAUUGGGAAAACCAAACCUGACAUCCUUUCUACCAUCUAACCUGCUUUAUUUUAAAACCACAAAAAGCCCCUAAAAUUAUGGACAAGCCCAAUUCUCAACCAAAAGGCCAAAAGGUGAUUCCAAAUGGCCCAUGCAACCUCACAAAACAAAAAAUAAGUUAAUUAGACUCACAAUAAACAUAACACACCACUGAUCACAACAAUAAGGAGAUAAAAUCUUAUUUGCUCUCCUAUUUAAUUUCAAUCAGGAUAAACCUCCCUAUUAUCUGACUUCCCUCAACCACUCAAAAGAUAUAAACUUCUAUCAUUUGCUUGAUCUCAUCUCAUUCAAUCACCAGUCCCACGCAAGCUGCACUAGAAAGCACUGAUCUCCCAGGCGAUGUGCAACUCCACCUUUCUUCUAUCAGUUUUGUUAUUUGCACUGCUGUACAUUUUCAAGAGAAGCAAUUUAGAUGUCCACUCUGUGCACAAACAAAGUAUAGUUUAGUUCAUGCCCUUCUAUAUGACAACAAAUAGCGACUACUCAGAUGGUUGCCAUUUAACC